UGGGGAAUAUUGCACAAUGGGCGAAAGCCUGAUGCAGCGACGCCGCGUGCGGGAUGAAGGCCUUCGGGUUGUAAACCGCUUUUAAUUGGGAGCAAGCGAGAGUGAGUGUACCUUUUGAAUAAGCACCGGCUAACUACGUGCCAGCAGCCGCGGUAAUACGUAGGGUGCAAGCGUUAUCCGGAAUUAUUGGGCGUAAAGAGCUCGUAGGCGGUUUGUCACGCCUGGUGUGAAAGUCCAUCGCUUAACGGUGGAUCUGCGCCGGGUACGGGCAGGCUAGAGUGCAGUAGGGGAGAUUGGAAUUCCCGGUGUAACGGUGGAAUGUGUAGAUAUCGGGAAGGAACACCAAUGGCGAAGGCAGAUCUCUGGGCUGUUACUGACGCUGAGGAGCGAAAGCAUGGGGAGCGAACAGGAUUAGAUACCCUGGUAGUCCAUGCCGUAAAACGGUGGAUGCUGGAUG
rnacentral:rRNA from 1 species